AAAGACCUGCCCUCAAAUCUGGAAUCCCAAAUGACCUUUUAGAAUGUCUAUCAACCUAUUUUAUAACUUCCAAACUGAUUUAUAAUUUAGCUCUCUGAAAGGGUGGUAUAGUAAAGCUGGCAUGACAAUCCCAUAUUAUGAAUUCUAGUCCUGGUGGAUUCUGCUAUUAGCUAGCUUGUUGUGACUUUGGACAAGUCACAAGUCCUCUGUGCAGUGCAGAAUCCUCCUCUGUAUAAUAAAGAUUUUAAAAUCCUGCUAUUCUAUAUUGCAAGAUUAGCCUGAAGAAGAGCUGCCACCAACAAUCUCAACUUAACCCAAGAUUUCUCUCACUAACAACACCUUGGCUCAGACUUAGCAAAAAAUGGACACUAUGAGUGAUACAAUAAACUUGUGUGAACAGUUUGGAAUUAGCAUAUCUGCAUAAAAUGCUUUCAAAGGAUCCAAAUCUUAUCUGAAAAGAAAUGAACUCUGGGUUGCCACCCUACAAGCUACCUAUACCAUAUUACACAGCUAGAUCGUAAACAAAAUAUAAAAACCAAAUAAGAGGAUGAGAAAGCCAACAUAAACAAGAUGAAGAAAGAGUCGAUGAAAUGUUGCUUGGUAUGUAAUUCCCCGUUCAAUAAAAGGGUGUGACAUCUGGCACUUUCAGGCCAGUAUUUUUUUUUUUUUUUAAACUUAGAAGCUUCUCACCUCUUCAACACAGCAUUGAUACGGAUUUUAAAAGAUAUAGCAUAUACCUUAAUAUUUAAUAUGCACACAUCUUUACUAGACAUGCUUGCACGGUUAAUACAUAACAAGAGUCCUCAUCCGAGUUUUGUCAUUAAGUCAGAACAAAACAAAGUAUAUUGAAAGCUAACAGUUCACUAAAUGCCAAGAAGCAAAUUGAGUUCUAAGAAAAAUAGAAGAAACCAGAAAGCAAGAACUGUGUGUCCUGCAAGAAAUGCUGUGUUGGUCGAAGGAAAGUGGUGGCUGUUGGAAGGAGUCCUACAACUUUGCAAUGAUCUCAAACACCAACAGCCUCAGCUUCUUUUCUUUGUAGUUAUGCCCUGGGGAAGAGCAGGAUGGCAAAGCCCCAAGCCGCAUCGGGGAAAACACACACACACAGCUUUCUGGGACGCGGCCUCGGUGCACUUUCCCGGAGACUUAGAUCAGCGAUCUUCUGCCCUUGGCUGCGGACAGUCUAGAAGGAGCGGUAGCAUCGGAACUGCUGGCUCCAGCCUCUGCUGGACUCCUUAGCAUCUCGCCCCAUUGCUCAGAGGCUCACUCCUUCCCACAUCCACCCCGCCCUAUACAACCCCAACCCAGCCCCGCGCAGUCUAGCAGCCCCAAACCGCGGCAGCAACGAACAAUAGGAUAGGGCCAAGUACUCGGUGGACUUUUCUUAAUUAAAUAGCAGAGAGAGAGCGCAGAAAGCAGCUGGAGCCUGACUUCUUAGAGGAGGAGGAGGUAAUAGCUAGGAGUCCCGGGGGAGGAGAAGGAGGAGGAGACGGUACAGGCGAUCUUACAGCUGCUGUAGCAGCAGGAGGUGCUUCGGGCUUUUUAUCUGACUGGCCGGAGUCCUGCUUACAUCACCUGGAAUUCAGGAGGAGGGUGUUGGGAAUGGAGAUCGUAUGCUGAGAGGCGAAAUGGAAAGGAGAAGGAGGGUACUGAAAAACAAAACAGUAAGCCCCAAAAGGAGUUUCAAGGAGCGUGGACCCCAAGUCCAUGAUUCACUUUUGCAAUUGUCAUCCUCCAGAGAGACUUACACAAUUUCCUUACCACUAAAAGGGAUCUUUUAGGAUUUCUUGGGCUUUACAGAACCAAUAUGAAGUUACCAAGGAAGACUCGAGUUACUCGAGUGGGUUAUCACUGUUGUUGAUAUACUGAAAAAAAUAAUUUCCUUUUCCUGGUCACGUUUUAGAAAAAAAGAUCCUUUUUUUAAUUGUUGUUGUUCUAGAGCAGGAAUUCUUAAACCUAAAAGUCCAGGAACUAAAGUGGCUCUGCGAACUUGGAUGGGAAAAUAAAUUUCCACUGAUCUCCAACUCAAAUUUAACAUUUUCUUCAAUUUUUUUAAAAAAAGUAAUCUUAGGAGGGCUUCUUAGGCUUCAGCAGACUACCAAAGGGAUCCACAAUUGAGGGAAAAAAGAAAUAGAACUAAAAACUAAUGUUAAGAACUCCUGGCCAGAGUGCCUGUCUCCUUUCUUUGGGAUGGGAGUAUUCUCCGUUUCUGACUGAUUGGAUAUUCUGUCAUAUGAGAGAAAAAUAGAGAGGGAGAGAGAGGCAUAUAUGUAUAUGUGAGUGCAUAUAAGCAUAUGUGUAUACAUAUAUGCAUACUGUAUAAAAGUUGAGGAUUUGGCUGAUCCAAUUAAUUUUAAUUUUGAUGGACAGCAAAUUAUUUUUUUCUCAUUUCUUUUUUUGGGUGGCAGCUUUCCUGUUAAGUAGCAAGCUACAUUCAAGUUUGCUAGUUAAUUACUUUAUUUGAACUAGAAAAUUACACAGAUUCCUUACACCCA